GAAAACUUGAAAACCAUCGUUGGAUCGAAAAAUGGAUGUUCGAGAUUCAUCCACGUCUUCAUAAGUAAAAAUUUUACCAUGAGUAAAUCUGCGAGUAAAAUUUUCACCCAUAGUGAUGUGGAUGAAUCUCGAAUAUCUAUUUUUCGAUCCAAUGAUAGUUAUCACGUUUCU
rnacentral:pre_miRNA from 1 species